CUACGGGAGGCUGCAGUGAGGAAUUUUGCGCAAUGGGCGAAAGCCUGACGCAGCGACGCCGCGUGAAGGAUGACGGCCUUCGGAUUGUAAACUUCUGUUAGAUGGGAAGAAAGGCUUGUCAGUAAUAUGGACAAGAGAUGACGUUACCAUCAAAGAAAGCACCGGCUAACUUCGUGCCAGCAGGCCGCGGUGAAUACGAGGGGUGCAAGCGUUAUUCCGAAUUACUGGGCGUAAAGGGUGUGUAGGCGGCGCACUAAGUCGAUUGUUAAAGGUCCCGGCCUACCCGGGAAAAAGCAGUCGAUACUAUUGUGCUAGAGGGUGAGAGAGAGAAGUGGAAUUCUUGGAGUAGCGGUAAAAUGCGUAGAUCUCAAGAAGAACACCAAUGGCGUAAGCAGCUUCUUGGCUCAUUCCUGACGCUAAUGCACGAAAGCGUGGGGAGCAAACAGGAUUAGAUACCCGAGUAGUC
rnacentral:rRNA from 1 species